rnacentral:rRNA from 1 species
GACGAACGCUGGCGGCGUGCCUAAUACAUGCAAGUUGAGCGCUGAAGGUUGGUACUUGUACCAACUGGAUGAGCAGCGAACGGGUGAGUAACGCGUGGGGAAUCUGCCUUUGAGCGGGGGACAACAUUUGGAAACGAAUGCUAAUACCGCAUAAAAACUUUAAACACAAGCUUUAAGUUUGAAAGAUGCAAUUGCAUCACUCAAAGAUGAUCCCGCGUUGUAUUAGCUAGUUGGUGAGGUAAAGGCUCACCAAGGCGAUGAUACAUAGCCGACCUGAGAGGGUGAUCGGCCACAUCGGGACUGAGACACGGCCCAAACUCCUACGGGAGGCAGCAGUAGGGAAUCUUCGGCAAUGGACGAAAGUCUGACCGAGCAACGCCGCGUGAGUGAAGAAGGUUUUCGGAUCGUAAAAACUUCUGUUGGUAGAGAAAGAAACGUUGGUGA